AGCAGUAUCCUGAGUACGGCGGGACACGUGAAAUCCCGUCGGAAUCUGGGAGGACCAUCUCCCAACCCUAAAUACUCCCUAGUGACCGAUAGUGAACCAGUACCGUGAGGGAAAGGUGAAAAGCACCCCGGGAGGGGAGUGAAAUAGAACCUGAAACCGUGUGCCUACAACAAGUUCGAGCCCGUUAAUGGGUGAGAGCGUGCCUUUUGUAGAAUGAACCGGCGAGUUACGUUAUGAUGCGAGGUUAAGUUGAAGAGACGGAGCCGUAGGGAAACCGAGUCUGAAUAGGGCGCCUUAGUAUCAUGACGUAGACCCGAAACCAUGUGACCUACCCAUGAGCAGGUUGAAGGUGCGGUAAGACGCACUGGAGGACCGAACCAGGGCACGUUGAAAAGUGCUUGGAUGACUUGUGGGUAGCGGAGAAAUUCCAAACGAACUUGGAGAUAGCUGGUUCUCUCCGAAAUAGCUUUAGGGCUAGCGUCGACAUUAGAGAUUCUUGGAGGUAGAGCACUGUUUGGGUGAGGGGUCCAUCCCGGAUUACCAAUCUCAGAUAAACUCCGAAUGCCAAUGAAUUAUGGUCGGCAGUCAGACUGCGAGUGCUAAGAUCCGUAGUCGAAAGGGAAACAGCCCAGACCACCAGCUAAGGUCCCAAAAUAAUUGUUAAGUGGAAAAGGAUGUGGGGUUGCACAGACAACUAGGAUGUUAGCUUAGAAGCAGCUAUUCAUUCAAAGAGUGCGUAAUAGCUCACUAGUCGAGUGACCCUGCGCCGAAAAUGUACCGGGGCUAAAACAAUUUACCGAAGCUGUGGAUACCUUUAUAGGUAUGGUAGGAGAGCGUUCUAUGUGUGAUGAAGGUAUACCGUGAGGAGUGCUGGAACGCAUAGAAGUGAGAAUGCCGGUAUGAGUAGCGAAAGACAGGUGAGAAUCCUGUCCACCGUAAGACUAAGGUUUCCAGGGGAAGGCUCGUCCGCCCUGGGUUAGUCGGGACCUAAGGAGAGACCGAAAGGUGUAUCCGAUGGACAACAGGUUGAUAUUCCUGUACUAGAGUAUGUAGUGAUGGAGGGACGCAGUAGGCUAACUAAAGCAGACGAUUGGAAGAGUCUGUCUAAGCAGUGAGGUGUGAAUUGAGUCAAAUGCUUAAUUCUAUAACAUUGAGCUGUGAUGGGGAGCGAAGUUUAGUAGCGAAGUUAGUGACGUCACACUGCCAAGAAAAGCUUCUAGCGUUUAAACAUACUCUACCCGUACCGCAAACCGACACAGGUAGUCGAGGCGAGUAGCCUCAGGUGAGCGAGAGAACUCUCGUUAAGGAACUCGGCAAAAUGACCCCGUAACUUCGGGAGAAGGGGUGCUGACUUNAAGUCAGCCGCAGUGAAUAGGCCCAAGCAACUGUUUAUCAAAAACACAGCUCUCUGCUAAAUCGUAAGAUGAUGUAUAGGGGGUGACGCCUGCCCGGUGCUGGAAGGUUAAGAGGAGUGCUUAGCGUAAGCGAAGGUAUGAAUUGAAGCCCCAGUAAACGGCGGCCGUAACUAUAACGGUCCUAAGGUAGCGAAAUUCCUUGUCGGGUAAGUUCCGACCCGCACGAAAGGCGUAAUGAUUUGGGCACUGUCUCAACGAGAGACUCGGUGAAAUUUUAGUACCUGUGAAGAUGCAGGUUACCCGCGACAGGACGGAAAGACCCCAUGGAGCUUUACUGCAGUUUGAUAUUGAGUGUCUGUACCACAUGUACAGGAUAGGUAGGAGUCUAAGAGAUCGGGACGCCAGUUUCGAAGGAGACGCUGUUGGGAUACUACCCUUGUGUUAUGGCCACUCUAACCCAGAUAGGUGAUCCCUAUCGGAGACAGUGUCUGACGGGCAGUUUGACUGGGGCGGUCGCCUCCUAAAAGGUAACGGAGGCGCCCAAAGGUUCCCUCAGAAUGGUUGGAAAUCAUUCGCAGAGUGUAAAGGUAUAAGGGAGCUUGACUGCGAGAGCUACAACUCGAGCAGGGACGAAAGUCGGGCUUAGUGAUCCGGUGGUUCCGUAUGGAAGGGCCAUCGCUCAACGGAUAAAAGCUACCCUGGGGAUAACAGGCUUAUCUCCCCCAAGAGUUCACAUCGACGGGGAGGUUUGGCACCUCGAUGUCGGCUCGUCGCAUCCUGGGGCUGUAGUCGGUCCCAAGGGUUGGGCUGUUCGCCCAUUAAAGCGGCACGCGAGCUGGGUUCAGAACGUCGUGAGACAGUUCGGUCCCUAUCCGUCGCGGGCGUAGGAAAUUUGAGAGGAUCUGCUCCUAGUACGAGAGGACCAGAGUGGACUUACCGCUGGUGUACCAGUUGUCUUGCCAAAGGCAUCGCUGGGUAGCUAUGUAGGGAAGGGAUAAACGCUGAAAGCAUCUAAGUGUGAAACCCACCUCAAGAUGAGAUUUCCCAUGAUUAUAUAUCAGUAAGAGCCCUGAGAGAUGAUCAGGUAGAUAGGUUAGAAGUGGAAGUGUGGCGACACAUGUAGCGGACUAAUACUAAUAGCUCGAGGACUUAUCCAA
rnacentral:rRNA from 1 species